ensembl:lncRNA
AACUUUUGAAAACUAGAAGACUCAAUUUCAGCCAGAUCCUACAAUCAGAGAAAUGCAAGCGUUGUGCACUUUUAUAUCCUCACAGUCAGUUACCAAUGGCGUUUCUGCUCCAUGCACCAUGGAAGAAACAGGCUGGAGAGAGACUGAAAGACUUUAUCUGACUCUUACAAACAGCGGGUUAUUGAAAGAAACAUCACAGCUUUCCUUAAGUUUGAAUAUGCUAUUAUUUUGUCUUUAUAAAAAGCUCAAAGUUGGGAUAAAACAGCUGUAUCUACAAAACACCAG